rnacentral:rRNA from 1 species
UACGGGGGGGGCAAGCGUUGUUCGGAAUUAUUGGGCGUAAAGGGCGCGUAGGCGGCUUGGUCAGUCCCGUGUGAAAUCCCUCGGCUCAACUGAGGAACUGCACGGGAAACUGCCUGGCUUGAGUUCGGGAGAGGGAAGCGGAAUUCCGGGUGUAGCGGUGAAAUGCGUAGAUAUCCGGAGGAACACCGGUGGCGAAGGCGGCUUCCUGGACCGACACUGACGCUGAGGCGCGAAAGCUAGGGGAGCAAACGGG